rnacentral:rRNA from 1 species
AGUGAACGCUGGCGGUAGGCCUAACACAUGCAAGUCGAACGGCAGCACAGGAGAGCUUGCUCUCUGGGUGGCGAGUGGCGGACGGGUGAGGAAUACAUCGGAAUCUACUCUGUCGUGGGGGAUAACGUAGGGAAACUUACGCUAAUACCGCAUACGACCUACGGGUGAAAGUGGGGGACCGCAAGGCCUCACGCGAUUGAAUGAGCCGAUGUCGGAUUAGCUAGUUGGCGGGGUAAAGGCCCACUAAGGCGACGAUCCGUAGCUGGUCUGAGAGGAUGAUCAGCCACACUGGAACUGAGACACGGUCCAGACUCCUACGGGAGGCAGCAGUGGGGAAUAUUGGACAAUGGGCGCAAGCCUGAUCCAGCCAUACCGCGUGAGUGAAGAAGGCCCUCGGGUUGUAAAGCUCUUUUGUUGGGAAAGAAAUCCUGUCGGUUAAUACCUGGCAGGGAUGACGGUACCCAAAGAAUAAGCACCGGCUAACUUCGAGCUAGCAGCCGCGGUAAUACGAAGGGUGCAAGCGUUACUCGGAAUUACUGGGCGUAAAGCGUGCGUAGGUGGUUGUUUGAGUCUGUCGUGAAAGCCCUGGGCUCAACCUGGGAAUUGCGAUGGAUACUGGGCAACUAGAGUGUGGUAGAGGGUGGCGGAAUU